AUUGAACGCUGGCGGCAUGCCUUACACAUGCGAGUCGAACGGUAACGCGGGGGCAACCUUGGCGACGAGUGGCGAACGGGUGAGUAACAUAUCGGAACGUGCCCUGGAGUGGGGGAUAACCAGUCGAAAGACUGGCUAAUACCGAAUACGUCCUACGGGAGAAAGUGGGGGCUUUUCGGACCCCACGCUCUCGGAUGAGCCUAGGUCGAAUUAGCUGGUUGGUGGGGUAAAGGCCAACCAAGGCGACGGUCCGUAACUGGUCUGAGAGGAUGAGCAGUCACACUGGAACUGAGACACGGUCCAGACUCCUACGGGAGGCAGCAGUGGGGAAUAUUGGACAAUGGGCGAAAGCCUGAUCCAGCCAUGCCGCGUGUGUGAAGAAGGUCUUCGGAUUGUAAAGCACUUUAAGUCGGGAGGAAGGGCUGUAGGUUAAUACCCUGCGGUUUGGACGUUACCGACAGAAUAAGCACCGGCUAACUUCGUGCCAGCAGCCGCAGUAA
rnacentral:rRNA from 1 species